rnacentral:rRNA from 1 species
ACAUCGUGCCCCUCGCGUGUGACUGCGUUCGAGAAAUCAGUAAGAGGUUUUGUAGAGAACCCUACAGAAAAUAUCAUUGUGCCGGCCAUUGGGACAAGUUUUGAUUCGCUCUGGGAGGCGUAUGACUUCUACAACCUAUAUUCAUGAGAGAAAGGGUUUGGGAUAAGAUAG